UGACAUACAUAAAUCCCUAAAUAUGGCAGAGCUGAAUAGUUCACAAGUUGCAGAGAAAGACGUGGAAAAACAUAACACAGGUAAUGUAUUUGUUGCGGAAUGACUGAAGAGGAUUACAUACUUGUAAAAUGAGUGUAAUUUAUCAAUAAUGAUAUUUAUAUUUAUUGUUAUCAUUAUAAAAAUAAUAUUUUGGUUCAUCUCGGCACACAGAGUUUACAUGUAACAUUUAUUAUAACUAUCCUUUUGGUCUAUAUGACUAAUGCGAUUAAACUGUUAAGUUAAUUUAAGUAUAAAGUUAUUGUAUGUAAUAUACAACCUAUUGGUAAUGGGUUUAAAUUAGGCGUAAAAUAUUUUGUAAUGAAUUUGGAAUGCUAUUUAAUUAUAAAAUUAAUAAAGUGUUUUUCCAUUUCACAUGCAUUUAUUGUAAUUUAGAACAUCGAUAGCUCUGUUUCUGUAUUUCUGAUACAAAAGGAAAAGGACAGAUAUAUUUAUCGUCGAUACAUUACCUCGAUGUGGUUACUAAUACAUAUCUCGUAGCAGGGACUUGAACAGCGGAGUGCGCGCGCAUCGUUUUCAGGGCGCAGGACGCACCCUAGCCGAGUGCUAUAAAUGUUAAGACACGUGCACGCAAAUAAAAAAUAUUCCAAAGAUGC